AACGAACGCUGGCGGCAUGCCUAACACAUGCAAGUCGAACGAGACCUUCGGGUCUAGUGGCGCACGGGUGCGUAACGCGUGGGAACCUGCCCUUAGGUUCGGAAUAACUCCCCGAAAGGGGUGCUAAUACCGGAUAAUGUCUUCGGACCAAAGAUUUAUCGCCUUUGGAUGGGCCCGCGUUGGAUUAGCUAGUUGGUAGGGUAAAAGCCUACCAAGGCGACGAUCCAUAGCUGGUCUGAGAGGAUGAUCAGCCACACUGGGACUGAGACACGGCCCAGACUCCUACGGGAGGCAGCAGUGGGGAAUAUUGGACAAUGGGCGAAAGCCUGAUCCAACAAUGCCGCGUGAGUGAUGAAGGCUUUAGGGUUGUAAAGCUCUUUUACCCGGGAUGAUAAUGACAGUACCGGGAGAAUAAGCUCCGGCUAACUCCGUG
rnacentral:rRNA from 1 species